rnacentral:lncRNA from 10 species
ACACAGAAACUGAGGAUGAACAGGAAGGUGAUGUUUACAGUUUCAUACUGCCCAUCUGUAGUGGGUUGAAUAAUGUCCCCCCAAAAUUCUUGUCCACCCAGAAUCUCAGAAUGUGAUCUUAUUUGGUCUUUGCAGAUGUAAUUGGUUAAGAUAAGAUCAUACUGGAUGUGGAUGGGUCCUAGAUCUGACUGCUGAUAUCCUUAUAAGAAGAAGAAAGGACACGCGGAGACUACAGUGAUGUUGCCACAAGCCAAGAAAUGCCAAGAAUUUCGGGAGCCACCAGAAGAUGGAAGAGGCAGGGAAAAAUCCUCCCCUAAAGCCUUCAGAGAGAGCAUAGCUCUGCCAACACCUUGAUUCUGGACAUCUAGCCUCUUAAACUUCCUCAGGUGUCUCAUUUCUUCUGUCUCAGAAGUCAUGGAUGUCAAUGAAGAUAUGGAAUUCACUUAUUCAUUCUUAUAAAUAUUACUUAGUGUCCUUGUGCUUGGCACUGUGCUUGGUCAUUGAGAUCUACUGUUCAAAAGCAAGAUAACAUACAGGCUGGAAUAGCGAGAUGCAAGAAUCCCAAGCCUUCAAAGCCAGCUCCUGCAGAAGAGAGAGGGCCUGGCAGCUGAGCUGGAUGCUUCAGGAGCAGAGGAUCUAUCAACUGCAGACCAAGCACAGGGAGACGCAGGCAAACCUGGAACAGUAACCCAGCCAGCUCCAAUUGCUCCGACAGUACUUGGUGGCCAGAGAGUCGGCAGCAGAAAGCAUGCCCCGGGCCGUGAAGCAGGAAAUCGACUCUGACUCAAUCCUUGAGGCAGAGAAAACAAAAGCUCAGCUGGAAGACACUGAA